rnacentral:rRNA from 1 species
GAGUUUGAUCGUGGCUCAGGACGAACGCUGGCGGCGCGCUUAACACAUGCAAGUCGAGCGAGAACCUGGCCUUCGGGCCUGGGAAAGCGGCGAACGGGUGAGUAACACGUGGGUAACCCACCCUUGGUACCGGGAUAGCCCGGGGAAACCCGGAUUAAUACCGGAUGGCCCAACAGCUCUUCGGGGCGGUUGGAAAAGGUAGCUUCGGCCUCCGACCAAGGACGGGCCCGCGGCGGAUUAGCUUGUUGGUGGGGUAACGGCCUACCAAGGCGACGAUCCGUAGCUGGUCUGAGAGGACGAUCAGCCACACUGGGACUGAGACACGGCCCAGACUCCUACGGGAGGCAGCAGUGGGGAAUCUUGCGCAAUGGGCGAAAGCCUGACGCAGCGACGCCGCGUGGGGAGAAGGCUUUCGGGUUGUAAACCCCUUUCAGGAAGGACGAAGCUACUCGGGUUAAUAGCCCAGAGGGUGACGGUACUUCCAGAAGAAGCCCCGGCUAACUACGUGCCAGCAGCCGCCGCGGUAAC